rnacentral:rRNA from 1 species
UACGUAGGUGGCAAGCGUUGUCCGGAAUUAUUGGGCGUAAAGAGCAUGUAGGCGGCCUAUUAAGUCGGGCGUGAAAAUGCGGGGCUCAACCCCGUAUGGCGCCCGAUACUGGUGGGCUUGAGUGCAGGAGAGGAAAGGGGAAUUCCCAGUGUAGCGGUGAAAUGCGUAGAUAUUGGGAGGAACACCAGUGGCGAAGGCGCCUUUCUGGACUGUGUCUGACGCUGAGAUGCGAAAGCCAGGGGAGCGUACGGG